rnacentral:tRNA from 1 species
GCCGGAAUAGCUCAGAUGGUAGAGCAACUGACUUGUAAUCAGUAGGUCACGGGUUCGACUCCUGUUUCCGGCA